rnacentral:tRNA from 1 species
ACUAACUUAGUAUAAAUAGUACAAGAGAUUGUAGAUCUGGAGGUAAGCGUAAUUCUUAGUUAGAA